UUUAAAAAAAAAUGUCAAAAAGUGUUAUUACACAGUUGUACACAGUACAUGCCAUAAAAGUGGGCGUAAAUUAUUUUUUCGUCCAUAAAAAAAAAAAAAUUAAAAAAAAUCUAAUUUUUUUUCUCUUAAAUUAGGAUGUUCUCUUCCUUUGUCCUACUCUGGUCUCUCCCUUUCUCUGAGGUGUCCUACUCUGGUCUCUCCCUUUCUCUGAGUUUUCCUACUCUGGUCUCUCCCUUUCUCUGAGUUUUCCUACUCUGGUCUCUCCCUCUCUCUGAGGUGUCCUACUCUGGUCUCUCCCUCUCUCUGAGGUGUCCUACUCUGGUCUCUCCCUUUCUCUGUGGUGUCCUACUCUUCUCUGAGGUGUCCUACUCUGGUCUCUCCCUUUCUCUGAGGUGUCCUACUCUGGUCUCUCCCUUUCUCUGAGUUGUCCUACUCUGGUCUCUCCCUUUCUCUGAGGUGUCCUACUCUUCUCUGAGUUUUCCUACUCUGGUCUCUCCCUUUCUCUGAGUUUUCCUACUCUGGUCUCUGCCUGUCCUUGUCGUAAUACUCUCCUACUCUCUCCUUGCCUGCACUUCCUUUCCUAGCCUCUCUUUCCUAUCUGGGGGGCCUAUCUAAGUGCACAUACGCUGAUACCGAGCUGGUCUUGAACCCGUCACUGGCGCCUUUAGUGGCGAGGACAAACCAACCGCGCCACCAGCGCACGUACGCAUGCAGCUGUUCUCCGGGUGUAUUUGUCUUUGUCAUUCUGGGUGUAAAGCUCAAAAUAAAUUGACUGUUCUUGUGUUGGAACCCAUAACCUUUGUGUCUCUUAACCAGCGUUCCAUCACUCUGAGCUAUCAGAUCUGAUCACCAAGCUUAUUGUUAGUUGUGUAUUUGUCUUUGUCAUUCUGGGUGUAAAACUCAAAAUAAAUUGUUUAUUCCUGUAUUGGAACCCAUAA